AUUAGGUCAAUAAAAGACAGUAAUUUUUUUUCUUCAUGUAUUCUUUCUUGGUCUAAUUGUUUUUGAUCCACUUAAAAAUAUAUAUAUUUUCUGCACAAUAGAAUAUUUUAAGAUAGUCUACAUCCAACCUUUGCAAUUAGCUAUGAGAAACAACACUGUUUCCAGUUAUGAUCAAACAGUGUUUGUAUGCUUAGGACAUGAACUUAACAUCACAGUUUUACUUACAUUUGAAUUGUAUUUAAGCUAUAUUUCAAAAUCAUAAGAAAUAGUUUGGCAAAGAAGUUCAUAUCAAAGUUACAUAAUUCUAAUUUUAGUAUACUCAGACCUAGUUUGAAAUGAGCUGAUGGUCAUAAAAAUUUAUACAAGAUUGGAUAAAACUAACUCCCACACUCAGUUUACAUUUAGAAACCCAGCAUUGAGGUAGAAUGGUCUUACUAAAGCAUUAUUUAUUUCAGUAUGUGCUUAUUUAGGAUUUGGAGGAUAUGUUAGACAUAGAAGUGGCUUAGAAAAUUUUAACUCUUGUCACAUAAAUUCCCUUUGUGAGCCAAAUAGAUAUAUUAUGUUUAGGAUCAUUACUUUUGUUCUCUAAUGUAUCAAACAGACCUUUUAAAAUGUCUGAAUUUAAUAUCUUCUAUUUAACAGGUUACUUAAUUUUUAAAGAUAGCAAUUAUAGAGAAUAUGUGAAUUUUAGCUUAAAGAAUUUGGCAGAAAUCUAGAUUAUUAUGGAGCACCUGUGCUUCCCACAAACCAAUUCAUUUUCUUACAGGAAGGUUAUAGGAGAAAUGUUCAGUCAUGCAAGUUAGAAGAGUGUGUCUGGUAAAACAUGAGCUGAAAAGAACAAGUUGGUUUACAAAGCAAUACUUGAAAGUAAAAUGUUUUCCAUCUGUUAACAGAUCUGCUGUGGGAGGGAAGACUAUUAUCAUAAAUAAACAGAAGUCAUUCAAAGCCAAAAUACCAGGUGACUCCUCUUUUGGUGGAGAAGACCAUCCAUCUCUACCCAGCCCAGUGGCAAAUGAAUUGAUCAGACAUAAAGCUAUUCUUGCAACAACUUCAUGUUCUUGGAAUUGUUACAGCUAGGUACCAUGCUUGUAUUAUAAACACUUUGAAAGGCCAUUGGCUAAUUAAGCAGUAAAAAACAUUUAGCCAAAGUUUAUUUUUUCUUUUUGGCUAAAAUUGAGAUCAGAAACUAGGAAUAAGUACUUAUAACCACAUUUAAGGCCACACAUUUCUUUUUAAAAAAGACUAGUUGCUUCAUUUUUUAGGUUAUAAUCAGGAAAAUCUUAAACAGCAAAUUUUAAUGAUCUUGACUUUUUCUCAAGUUUUGGUUCUAAACACUAUUGCCAUAUAUGCCUGUAGAAAACUAAAACAAAACAAAACAAAACAAAAAAACAAACAAAAACAGUAUAUGAAAGAAAACAAAAUUUAAAAUGAGCGAAAACCUGAACGACUUCAAUAAAAUUUUCCACCUUAUUUUUGCUUCAGAAUCUAGUUUUAUUUCUGUCGCUUUUUCUCUCACAGCUUUCCCCUGAAUGGUGAUAAGAUUAUGGCUAUUAUUAACAACAAUCAUCAUCUUCUCCUUACAUAACACCAUUCAUGGAUCCUGUGUUGAGUAAUGGCAAAAUCUUCCUUCAGGCACAAUAAAAAUAUUGAGACAGGGAUGGGGAUAAUGUUCAGUGGUAGAGUGCUUGCCUAGCAUGCAAGACCCUAGGUUUGAUUCCCAGUACCAUGGGAACAAAAAACAGAUUUAAGAAAAACAUUGAGGCAAGACAGUUUUUUCCAUGUUUUACAAAUGAAGGGAUGAACACUCACAGAAACUGCCAAGUUAAAACAAUAAAGUGUUGUAAAAAGUAGUUGUAAUAUACUGAGUGUUUAAAUGUAUCAGACACUGUACAAAAAGAGCUUUGCAAGCAUUAACCCACAAUAGUACUGUAGGUAAAUCAUUACCAUCUCCAUUUUUUUUUAAGAUUUAUUUUUUAGUUGUAGUUGAACACAAUACCUUUAUUUAUUUAUUUUUUUAUGUGGUGCGGGCCUUGCAGUGCUAGGUGAGUGCUCUACCGCUGAGCCACAACCCUAGCCAUACCAUCUCCAUUUUAUAGAUGAAAAAUGAGGGCUUACAGAGUGCACAUGAUAGAACCAGAAUUUUGAAACAAGUUUUCUAUCAAUCUUCCAAAAAAUGGAAAUUGCUUAUUUUAUAGAACUCAAGAAUUCUAACUGAAAUUGAAGAGAAUUUUCAAAAGUAACAGAUUAUGAAGAUCUUUUCAUGGUCGGGGUAAACAUAAAGUCAGAGUCAAUCACCCUAAAAGGGUGCCUGUAAGAUUCUCUGUCCAAAAAUGUUUCUUUCACUAGUCUGUAACUGAUACCUGAAGUAUCAGCAUUAAGGAAGGAGAAAGUUUGGUUAGAUUUUAUCCCAUGUUAUGAAAGUAAUACAUUGGAAUUAAUUUAUUAUAAUUAUUAUUUUUCAAUAUGGUAUUUAGUUGAGAGGACAGUUGGAUUUAAUGGUAUAUUAGGAAAGUCCCCUGAUUAGAAGGCUUCUUUAUACUUCAGUCGUAGAGAAGUAUGAAAUAGAAAUGGACAAAGAAGUAAUUUUUAAAAUUUUUUUUGUCUUAGUUGUAGUUGGACACAAUAUCUUUAUUUUAUUUAAUUUAUUUUUUUAUGUGGUGCUGAGUUCGAUCCUUGUACAUGCUAAGCGAGUGCUCUACUCCUGAGCCACAACCCCAGCCCCUAAAGAACUAUUUUUUUUUUUUAAAAGGUGAAAAGGCCAUGUAGACCAGAUUAAUCUGAUGAACUAUUUUGCUUUAGACAGCUUCUGAACAUAGGACAAAUGUUGAAUUAGUUUGUCAUUUAAACAAAUAACAUCAUCAUAAAUGCUGUUGACUUUUGAACAUUAGAAAAAGUUUUGGUUCUAAACACUAUUGCCAUAUGAAUCAAAGGAAUUCAAGACAAACAUACUAUUAUUAUUCAAAAAUAACUGACAUGGACACUGACUUCUGUUUACUGUAUAAAUUUGUUUAGUUCUAGAUAGCAGCAGAAUAUGUGCUUCUAAACUUUUUAAAAUUCAGUUUCAUAAAUAUUUAUUAUGUCCUAAUUCUGUAAUACAAAGAUGAAUAAAAUGUAUAUUUUGUUCUUCAGCAGUUCAUAAUGAAUAAAAUACCAUGAAUUUAGGGGGACAUAUAAUUUAGAGGGUUAUUUGACAAUAGAAAAGAAAAGGUUUCGAUUCAUCUGCUAUACAUUUCCUUUCUCUAAGACUGCUCUGGAGUUAGUAGAUAUCCAGGUGGUAUUUGAGUUACGAUGAAUAAGGGAUAUGGAGGGCUCUCUGGUUAGAUUAAUGAUGAGGCAGAGGAGAAAGCAAUUUGCUUUCAAUAAUUUUUUUUUUUUUACUUCUUUAACAAAGAGAUCUGUAUAUACCUACAUAAAAUUUUAUAAUGUCUACUUUGUGGCUUACUGACAUUUAAAAAUUUUUUUUCUACCUGAAUGAUUUUUAGUUCUUGAAUUCUUUUUCCCUUUCAUUCUUUCUCAUUCACUUACUCAGUGAGCUAGAUUUCCUGUAUCUACCAUGUGUUGCCUCCCAAAAGAGAUGCAGUAAAUCAGCUUAAAAAAUAAACAACCCAGCAGGGAUGGGAUGGUUUCCCAACCCCCACCCCACUCCACUAUAGUCAUGGGCACAUAGGUUUAGUAGAUAGGUCAUAUUUUAUAUUCACUUGAGUUUGCAUUGGCUCAGUCAUAUAAUCAAAUGGAGAUUAACCAUUUGUUUCAUUUUAGCAUGCCAAGAAUCAAGCACUACAAAGUGAUGAGCAUAGGGAAAAACUACACUAUUGAACUGGAAAAACCUGUAAGUAGAUAUUUCUUUGCUAUUGAUGAACUUUUCCCUGAUUCCUCCCAAACUUAUCUUUAUAGAAUAUAAAGAAUGGAAAAGCAGAUUUUUUUCCCCCCUUAGGGAUAUAGUGGCAAAAAAUAGGCAAGUUAAGGAGGCUUGCAGGUGGAAGAUAUUUAGGGUGAGAAGUGAGAUGCAAGGACAGGUGGUAGAAGUAAAGUAGAAGAUAAUCUGCUUCUAAAAAUUCCACUGUUUUCUUGUGAAGUUCUUAUCAAUAUAAUUGUUUCAGGGAGAGAAAAUAUUUUUAUUAAGCAUCUAUUUUACAUAUAAGCAUUAAAAUGUGCUAUGGGAAGAAAUCUGCAAAUGACUAGUCUUCUAAAACUUGCAAUGCAAAAGUUCAGAAAUUCCCUCUUAAUAGCAACAUACCAGUGAAGAAAGGGUUUCUUCCUUGUCUUCAACCUUUCUCCCAUCCUAGCUGACUUAUCAUGUGGCUAAAGAUAUCAAAUCUUAACUACCUGAUACCAUGUUGGGCAUAGAGCUAAUUUACAUAUACAAUUUAAUCUUUUUCAUUUGUCUGAGGUAGAUAUUAUUAUACCUCUCAUUCAGGUGAGAAAAUUUAUUUACACUCGUCUCAACUGAUGAAAAUGUGGUGGUGUAUCCUAUGUUCUAGUAUGCUAAUAAAAAGGAAUACAGCUAAGUUUUAGGCUGUAAGAAAGGAAAGAUGAUCCCGGAAAAAUGUCUCUGAAUAGCACUUAAAUGGAAUUGGUAAAUCUUAAAGAAUUUCUUUGUUUCUCCAGGCCCACUGUGUUGAUCAAACAGAAAAAGGAUAGUGUGAUCGAAUUUUUUAUACUUUACCCAUAACCCUUAUAGAACAAGGCAGCUGCUGACUCCUGUAACUUGACUUGCUUAUAUCUUCACCAUAAAUGCCUCCCAGUGCCUCUCAUGUCUCAGAUCCAUGCCUCCUAAGCUUUAAAACAAAGUUCUAACUAAGGAGGCAGAGAACUCGUUGCUACAGGAUCAUCCAAAUAAUCAAGUGAUUACAAGUUAUGGUCAAGGAAGAAUAAUGUAACUGGUACAUCUUUGUAACUGGUGGACUGGUACUCGUUUCUGUCAUUAGUCUCCACAGCUGCUUUCCUCUUUCACUCUCCCCAACCCUGUCUGUCACUCAACCAAAUUGCAUUUUGAUGAAUUUUUUUCCUCUUCAAGGUUACCUGGGAUAUUCACAUGUAAGCAGACUUCACCAGUUGUGUGACCAACAAAAUUUUUGUUGGGGGUAAAGCUAUAUUUCAGUUACUCCUAGAUCAGUAAAUUAUCCUGACACAAUGAGAUAUUAAAAUGCUUAAAUUCUCUGGCUUUAAGUGUUCUUUAGUUUCAAGAAGAGAAAACUAACUAUGCCUAAUUUAGACCAAAGUGAACUUAUUACAAGAAUAUAGAAUGUUGUUUUGAUAAACAUUCUGAAGGCUAGGAAAUCCUCAGGACUGACUAGGAAUUAGUUACUUGUACUAAUAACCAUUUUAUUAGAAAGCUGCUAUUCUUUUUUGUUCCUCUACUCAAGUUCAAAUUUCUGGCCUAACUUCAGUAAUUCUUAUGUCUUAAUUGAAGGAUAGCAAGGUAGCUAAUUAUUGUCCACCAGAUUGUACUCAAUAGGUAAGGGGUAAUUCCUCAACAGAGAACUGCAACAUGUUUAUCAGAAAGGAGAAAUAAGACACAGGGGUAAGGAAAACUAUGGUUAGUCAGUAAGCUACAGAAGUAAAUUACUGACAUGAUUUUCAGGAAAUACACAAGAAUCCUCAUUAAAUUACAGUUGAGCAUAUCUUACUCUUUACCUGGGUGACUCUGAGCCUUCUCUCACUUUCUCUUUAUACAGGUAACACUCCCAAACCUUUUCAGUGUUAUUGAUUAUUUUGUGAAGGAGACUCGAGGAAAUUUAAGACCAUUUAUAUAUUCAAAUGAGGACAAGCUUGGUAUGUUCUUCACUUUGUUGCUGAAGUAAUGAAAUCACAAGGCUGGGGAUGUGGCUCAAGUGGUAGCGUGCUCGCCUGGCAUGCCUGGCAUGCGUGCGGCCUGGGUUCGAUCCUCAGCACCACAUACAAACAAAGAUGUUGUGUUUGCUGAAAACUAAAAAAUAAAUAUUAAAAAUUAAAAAAAAAGGAAAUCACAAGAAAACCAAAAAUCUCUGAUAUGAUUUGUUUCAAGUAGAGGAAACUAACUAUGCCUAAUUUAGGCCAAAGUGAAUUUAUUACAAGAAUAUAGAAUGUUGUUGUGAUAAGCAUUUUGAAGACUAGGAAAUCCUCAGGGACUGUUAGGAAUUAGUUACUUGUACUAAUAACCAUUUUAAAAAUUUAUUAGGAAGCUGAUAUCCUUUUUUGUUCUCCCAAAAUUGGUGUGAAAAUUUAACCAAAUCCAAUAAAAAUCCCAGGAGAAUUUUUGUGUAAAUAGCAGCAUGGUGAUUCCAAGUAUUAUACCAAAAGGCCUAACUUAACUGAUUUUUAUGUCUGUAAUUUAAUUUAAAAAAUCCUAAAAUAAGUAAAUAAAUGCUAGUCCAAGAACAUGAAGCUACCAUUUUUCCUUGCUGCUCUGAGGUCUCAUGUGAGAGUGACAUUACCAUUUACUGUGUUCUUCCUUGAUAAUUACCUGGAGUCACUUGAUUAUUUGGAUGAUCUAGGCAGUCUAGUUCUCUGCCUCCAUCAUUAUAGUCUGGAUUAUCAUCUUUAAAGAUUAGAGAUGAGAUGAAGAGAGGUCAAGCCACUCCUAGCUGAGAGUACCAGAUGUGUGACCAAGGCUCACUGGGACAAUCCAGCCCCACUCAAGCCACUGGUUACUUCAAAUCAUAUAAGUGACAUCAAGUGAAAGUAGAACUGCCCAACUGAAUCAAAUCCGAAUUUGUGACCCAUAGAUCAUGAUAAAAUAAAAUGCUUGUUGAAAAUAACCAUUACGUUUUUGGGGCAGCUUGUUAUACAGCAUUAGAUAACUGAUACAAUAUAAUCCACGCAGCAGGAAAGUUAUAUUGGAUUUUCUAUCCUCUCUAAUGUCAUGGGUAUGUGAACUGUGCUAUUGCACAGGGUCCCAUGCUGGAUUUAAUGGUCUUCUAUCAUUGUUUUGAAAUUCUUAAUUUAUGCACAAGGGGUUCCCAAAUUUUGUAGCUGGUCCUAAAUAUAAUCUUUAUCUGUAAUUCCUCAACACCUACUCAUUCCUAUUUGGGAGCUUUGGAGUUUGUUUCUGGGUUCUUCUGUGUGCAGUGUAUCUUUUGAGUAUUCUUUGUAGUGAUGGCCUGUUGGUCAUAAAUUUUUUUAGUUUAUCCUUGUCAUGGAAAGUUUUUAUUUUUUUCAUCAAUUUUGAAAGAGAGCUUUGCUGGACACAGAAAUCUUGGCAGGCAACUGUUUUCUUUUAGAUAAUGGAAUAUUUCAUUCCAGGCCCUCUUUGAUUUUAGGAUCUUGGUUGAAAAGGCUAAAGUGAGUCUUGUCGGUUUGCCUCUAAGUGACCUUACAUUUUUCUCUUGCAGCUUUUAAUAUUUUUUUCUUAUUUUCUAUGUUAGGCAUUUUGAUCAUGAGUUUCUGUUCUGAUCCUGACCUUUUCUGCCACUGAUCUCAAUUUGGUGUCCAGUUUGUCUUCUGUAUGUGAAUGUCUAUCUCAUUUCUAAUAUAGGGGAAAAUUUCUGUUACUAUCUCAUUGAAGAUGCUUUCAAUGCCUUUAGCAUAUAUAUUUAUGCUCUCUUUUAUCCUAGUAAUUCUCAGGUUUGUUCUCUUGAUGCUGUUUCAGAGUUUUUGUCUAUUCUGUUCAUGGUCUUUUAUUUAUUUUUUCCUUUAUUACGUACUGAGUGUUUGAGAUUAUAUACCCUGUCCCCAAGGUCUGAAGUUUUAUUUUCUAUGCAACCUAAUUCAUGAUGAUUUUACAUAAAUUUUUAAUUUGAUUCAUUGUGUCUUCAAUUUCUGGAUGUUCUGAUUGGUUUCUUUUCACUAUUUCCAUUUCUUAUUGAAAUGGUCUUUCAUUUUCUGUUUUUAAUCGCUUAAUUCAUUCCUUAUAUAUUCUUUUAGUUCAUUGAACAUUUUAACAAUCAGUUUUUUAAUAGUCUUUCUCUGGAAUUUCAUCCAUUUUCAUGUCCCUGGGGUCCUUUGCCAGGGACUGUGAAUUUGGGAAGCGAUUUGUUUGCCUCUUUCUUUAUGUUUUCACAGAUCUUGGAUUUCUGCAUCAGUUGAGAUGUAUUCCCCUUCCUCUUUUAUAUAUGUCAUUUUGUGUGUAGUUAUCCUUUUUUUUUCCCCCCCCUGGGACUUAUGUCUCAUGUAUGAGUAGAUUUCUAGGAGUAGAAUUUGAGGUUUCCCUCUUGUUUUUCCUUGGGGGGCCUGGUUGUUGGUUUGUUUUUUUUCCUCCCUAAUUCUAUAUGUUGAUAUACUGUCAAGGCUCAGGUGUGGCUAGAUCAUAUGUGGGGUGAGAUUUGCUGUUACUUGGCUGUUAUAAAUAUUCUCAGCCUGAUUUUUACUCUGUAAACUUGAAGUGCCCUUAUCACUUUCCAAACCCCUUUAGAGGAAUGGGGGAGCCAAGAAUAGUACCAAUGUUAGCAACAUAUGUACAGACUUAAGAUAAAUGGCCUGUCUACUUUGAUAUCUGUAACACUAAUUGCCACCUGUAAAGGAAUAGUAGGGUCAGCAUUUAACAUCAGCACCACCAACAAAAAAAAUGUAGACUAGAUCAGGCAUUAAAUAGCAGGUAUCUAUUGUGUCAUCCACUGUAUUAAUAAUCAGAGCAACAAGAGUAGUGUAGGAAUUAGAUAAACUAUAUAAUUCUCAGUGGGAGUUCAGUUUCUUAAGAAAAAUAGGGUAACAAGGCAAGAGAAUAUUGAAAUACUGAAAUAUUUAAAUAACAAGGCAGAAGAUAGGUAGCAGAUGACAGCUGUAAAGGAGGAGAAUAACUAAAAGUAAUAAAAAAUGAAUGAGAGGAAGAGGGAACAGGAAAAAUUGACUAUUAGUUGGGGAAGAGAGUGAAGGAGCAAUAAGAGGGACAAAAACCAAAGGACAAACAAAUAUAAGAUCAAAAGACAAUUCAAACCUAUGUAUAAUUAUACCUCAGCUAAGUCAAACCAAGGCUAAAUAAUAAAUGAAGAAGAAAGCAAUGAAAUGAAAGUAAGAUUAUAUGUAUAUUUAUAUAAAUAUAUAUGCACACACACACACAUAUAUAUAUAUAUAUAUAUAUUUAAACCUAUUUGCAAGUGAGAACACCCACAUUCACAAACCCACAUACACACCAUCUUGCAGUAUAGAAAAAAAGUAAAAAAAUGAUAAUGAAACAUUUGAAAAAAUUUAAAAAUUAAAUGUAAAAUAUUAGGGAGGGGAAAUAUGGAAAAAAGGACAUGAAGAAAAAAUUCUUAAUGAGAGAUAAAGGGCUUUUUUUUCACAUAGGAGAUCAAAAUUAUUGGCAAGGAGGGAUUUUCAUUCUUUUUAUUUUUGGGCUCUGUAACCGAGUAAACAGCUGGGGUUUGUUAAGUCCAAUGUCUUUGUGGUCCUCACUUAGUUGUCUGCCAUUGUGGCUAGGGGCCGGCGCUGCUUGUAGUAGCUCUCAGCUUCCUGUCUCCCAGUAUGUGGUGGGAUAGAUUGUUAAAUGCAGACAAAUUGUGCAUUCUUGUAGUAGAGGUGGUGCAGAGUUCUAAAUUUGGAAGUUCCAGUUACUAGGUUUUGGUCUUGGUUGACCCUUGGAACUCUGUCAGUGGAUUUGAGAUUUGAUCUACACUCCCUGUUGCUUAGGAGAUGCCCAUUUCUGUUGGAUGUUUGGGUCUUGCCUCCUGUAAAUUCCACCUUUUGGGUGUGAAAUCUAAACCUCCACAGGUUUCACAUUCACUGCUAUGGAUGUGAAUUACCCAGUAGCAGCCCUGGAGUGAAGUUGCUCCUGUAUGGCUGCUAUAGGUUAUCUCCUCAAUAGCUCUUAUGGGGUGCUAGCAACAAAGGGAGCUUUCCCUUCUUGCUAUCUGGAGCCUAGAUACCCUGGGCACAAUUUUCUUUAUACUUAUUUCAGUUGUACUCUGGGGCCCACAAUAGGUGACUGCUGGGUCAGACGGCAACUUCCUUUAUAAGUUCCCUAUCUCCUGCCUCUGCUUGUGGCUGUGCAGUGCUUAAAAAUCAUUCCUGCACCAGUGAUCCCAUUUCCCUUCAAACUGUCUGGCCUAUGGGCUGAGUGAUUUUGGUUGCUUUUUGCUCAACAGCUUUUCCCAUUGACUCUGGGUCCAUUAAGAUUAGCCUCCAUCUCUACUCCACAAGCCAAUUUUUUUUUUCCCCUGUACUGUUCUCUUCUCCCCAGAAGGCCAUAGCUACUUUAUUAUUUUUUUAUAUUAUAUUCAGAGCUUAUGAUUUUCUGUGCCUAUGGUUUCUUUUGCUGUCCAGUGUUGAAUUUCAGUAGUUACCACAGUUACCUACCUGAGGAGCAGUCUUCCCAUUUUCUUUUAAUAUUUGUUUUUUAGGUGUAGAUGGACACAACACAAUGCCUUUAUUUUUAUAUGGUGCCGAGGAUCCAACCUGGGUCCCACCUGUGCUAGGUGAGCGCUCUACGGCUGAGCCACAAUCCCAGCCCUUUCCACUUUUUAAUCUGGUGCUAAGGAGCUGCUGGGAAGUACACUCUUCCUCUAAUUUGCUAUCUUCUCUGUUCUGUGAAUGUUAAAUUUUGUCAAAUGAUCUUUCUGCAUCUAUUGAGAUGAUCGUAUGGUUUUUCCUUUCAGGUGUUACUAUGGUGAGUUAUAUUGAUUUUCUGUUUUUGUCCAAAUCUUACAUAAACUCAUUUGGUUAUAAUGUAUUUUUGGAUUUGAUUUGAUAAUUUAAAAUUUUCAUGUCUGAGAAACAUUUUAGUGAAAAAAAUUUUAAUGCUGGGGAUUGAAACCAGGGGCUUCUCAGAUUCAAGAGCUGUAUCACUGAGUUACCUCACCAAACAUUUUGUAAAAAUUUUGAGACAGAAUAUGGCUAAGUUGCCCAGGCUUGCCUAGACAAUGUGAUCCUCCUGCCUCUAGGGUUACAGGUGUGCACCAAAGUGCUUUGCUCAGUGAAUUUUUUACUUCAGGCAUUUUUUCAUUGCAAAAGUUUAAAAGUUUGCGACUUAAGAGUGUUUAUGACUACUUCAUGAAGCAUAACUAGUAAUUCCAACAUCUUGGAUGUAUUAGUACUGGCUUCUGUUGCCUUUUCCCUUGAAAAUUGGAAAAUUAUGAGAAUUGGCAACAUUUCUCUGACCUUUUGAAUAUCAAAUAAUUUUGGAUUGUGUCUUGAGCAUUUUGGAUAUUAUUUUCAUGGCAUUUUUGGUCUGUUGAAAUUCUCUAGAGCAUUUAUUUAUUUAAGGAGGCAAUUAAAUUGAACUAGUUCUAUUUCAUUUUCUGUGGGAAGUGCUUCCAAAUCAGUUAAGUUUUCAAAGUCUUUAUUAUGUUACUCUGGGUUUGAAUACCUCAGGGAUUAUUAGCAUUGGACUUGGGCAAUGGUUUAUAUCUUAAUUCUCAAAGCCUUUGUUGUUUUGUGCAUGCACAACUGAAAUGAACCUGGAACUUGUGUAAUAUCACAUAUAAAACCAGGGGAUACUCUUUUCCAACUCUCAUGUUUCCAGCUACACCAAGGAUCAUUUUUCCCUGGUUUUCUAGCUAGAAAGAAAGGGCUUUUUUUUUUUUUUUCCGUUGCAGAUGGGGGUAAGCACUCUAUCACUGAGGAAUAGACUCAACCCUUUAUAUUUUUGAGACAGGAUCUUGCUAAGUUGCCCAAGCUGACCUUGAACUUGCAAUCUUCCUGGUUCAGUCUCCCCAAUAGUUUGAUUUUAGGCAUGCAUCAUCACAGUUCAUCAAGAUGGGAAUUCUUGAAGAGUUGGAGCCACUGUGCUGUCAUGCAUUUCUGUGAGACUGGGGCUGCCCAAUCUCUCUAGAGAGAGAAAAUAAAAAUAUUUCCAACUCUUUCCUUGCUUCCCUGAGCUAACUCUUCCUUAUUUCCAAGAAUAUUCUCUUGAGGUUUUAGGUGCUCAUACAACAGUACAGCACAUUUGAGUAGGGGCCACCUGAGAGCAGGACCAGGAAAGAGAAAACAGACAAUAGAAAGAAAUAAUUGAACAAACAGGCUUUUGAUGUAAAAUGUCAACGACUUCAGAAACAGACAACCAGACUGCUUCUGCUACCUGACUGACUGACCUGGUUCUAUUUGCUUAGUAUUCAGGAACAAACUACUCAUUCUUGCUGCAUUUCAGAUUUGUUUGGAAUAUGGAAUGAUGUAAAAUGAAAUUAGGCAUGUGAAGAAAAAGUUCAAAUAAUCAGAGUAUCUUCUGUAGAACAACAUUUAUUUUCAAAAACAGGAUGGAAAACAUGGGAAUACAGAACUUUCUAGAAAAGCUACAAAAAUUAAAACUGUCAAAUAGCGCUGAAGCAUUAAGAAAAUUUUGUGGACCUCUAACAUUAUUUCAGGAAUAUGAACUAAGCUUCAUUGGGACUUCUAAAGCACUUAACUUUAUUUUCCCUGAGCUGAGAAAUGGGAAUUAGAGAACAUAUAAGUUUUCCAAUCUAGAGAUUUGGAAAAAGUUACUGUUGACAAUAAAAUACUAAAUAAAAUAAAAUGGAAUUUUCUUUGAUCUUUGUUAACUCAUGUCAGCAUUCAACUGUCUGACACCAGAAGGCAAGAACAAUGGUCACAGAUACUUUUCCUGAUUUAUUUUUCUCAACUUCAAAAAUUAGCAUUUUCAAAGCCACUUCAAAAUAUACUAGGGCAGAUUAGGACAUUAAAGAAAAGGAAAAUAAUUUUUCCUAGGCAAAUACUAUUGGCAACCUAGUUACAGAUCUAGGAUAAAAACAAAACAAAAACCUUAGUAUUCAGCAUCUUAUUACCUUACAACCACCAAUGAAACACACCACCAGUGUUUCGGGUACAAGCCAAAAACUCCCAUUGAAAAUAUAAAGCACUUUGUUAUUCCAUAUUGGUUCGUUGAUUAAUCAAGUUUUUCUACUUGUAAUUUCUAGGUCAAGAACACAACAUGGAAGGGAUAAUCGAGAAGCUGAAGAAAAAUCCACACACUGAAUGAAAUAAAAUGUGAAACUGCUUUCAUGUAAUUCGAUAAUUUGUUUUCAAAAGAUCUCAUUUUUAAAGAAAAUUACCUCUUUUAUCCUAAUUGUUAAUUUCCAAGUCACUCACUUGGACAUCAGAGUUAAAGUAGCACACAACUUCACUAUUUUAUCAGAAUGAAACCCAGGGAAAAACCAUAGGCUGUGGUUGUGGGUUCAUUUGUAGAUACAUGUGUUUUAAUGCACUAAUAUAAGCCAAAAGCAUAUAAUUCUUUGUAAAUGGAGGUUUAUAUUUCUAGGCUUCAAUUAGAUACUUAACUAUAUAAUCUUCAGAACAGAUUUUCUAGUUCUAAAUCCUAAUUCCAAAACAACCUCAAAAGGCUAUUUAAAAAAAAAAUCUGUUUGACCAAUUUAUCAAAUAUAAGGCAUUUAAAUUAACUAGCUGGAAGCUAGACACAUAAAGUGAAUCAGAAGCCCUUUUCCAAUGGAAAUAUUCUAUGCCACAUAUUUUAUUUUUUUUAUUUUUAGUUAUUGGCGGACACAACAUCUUUGUUUGUAUGUGGUGCUGAGGAUCGAACCCGGGCCGCACGCAUACCAUGCGAGCGCGCUACCACUUGAGCCACAUCCCCAGCCCCUAUGCCACAUAUUUUGUUGCUGGAAAUAAAUGAAAUUGAUUCACUUCUGUAUUUUUCC
rnacentral:lncRNA from 1 species